rnacentral:rRNA from 1 species
AACGAACGCUGGCGGCAGGCCUAACACAUGCAAGUCGAGCGAGGACUUCGGUCCUAGCGGCGGACGGGUGAGUAACGCGUGGGAACGUGCCCUUUGCUUCGGAAUAGCCCUGGGAAACUGGGAGUAAUACCGGAUGAGCCCUUUGGGGGAAAGAUUUAUCGGCGAAGGAUCGGCCCGCGUUGGAUUAGGUAGUUGGUGGGGUAAUGGCCUACCAAGCCGACGAUCCAUAGCUGGUUUGAGAGGAUGAUCAGCCACACUGGGACUGAGACACGGCCCAGACUCCUACGGGAGGUAGCAGUGGGGAAUCUUAGACAAUGGGGGAAACCCUGAUCUAGCCAUGCCGCGUGAGCGAUGAAGGCCUUAGGGUUGUAAAGCUCUUUCAGCUGGGAAGAUAAUGACGGUACCAGCAGAAGAAGCCCCGGCUAACUCCGUG